GGACGAUAGCUCAAUGGCAAAGCAUCCGCUUCACACACAGAAGGUCUCAGGUUUGAUCCCUGGCAUCACCA